GGGUGAGUAACGCGUGAGUAACCUGCCCUGGAGUGGGGGACAACAGUUGGAAACGACUGCUAAUACCGCAUAAGCCCACGGAUUCGCAUGGAUCUGCGGGAAAAGGAUUUAUUCGCUUCAGGAUGGACUCGCGUCCAAUUAGCUAGUUGGUGAGGUAACGGCCCACCAAGGCGACGAUUGGUAGCCGGACUGAGAGGUUGAACGGCCACAUUGGGACUGAGACACGGCCCAGACUCCUACGGGAGGCAGCAGUGGGGGAUAUUGCACAAUGGGGGAAACCCUGAUGCAGCGACGCCGCGUGGAGGAAGAAGGUUUUCGGAUUGUAAACUCCUGUCGUUAGGGACGAUAAUGACGGUACCUAACAAGAAAGCACCGGCUAACUACGUGCCAGCAGCCGCGGUAAAACGUAGGGUGCAAGCGUUGUCCGGAAUUACUGGGUGUAAAGGGAGCGCAGGCGGACCGGCAAGUUGGAAGUGAAAACUAUGGGCUCAACCCAUAAAUUGCUUUCAAAACUGCUGGCCUUGAGUAGUGCAGAGGUAGGUGGAAUUCCCGGUGUAGCGGUGGAAUGCGUAGAUAUCGGGAGGAACACCAGUGGCGAAGGCGACCUACUGGGCACCAACUGACGCUGAGGCUCGAAAGCAUGGGUAGCAAACAGGAUUAGAUACCCUGGUAGUCCAUGCCGUAAACGAUGAUUACUAGGUGUUGGAGGAUU
rnacentral:rRNA from 1 species